rnacentral:lncRNA from 10 species
AUUGCAAGGCAGUUUCGAAAUCUGACACGUUGCGGACAGACACUUGUCACGCUCACAUGCUCUUUAAACGUCUCUGCCCGGGGACGGCCGGGCGCGCGCCUGCCUCACCAAGACUCCGCCUGACACCCCGAGUCGCCGAACCCCGGCAGCGGCCACUUUUAUAGCUAAGGGGUGACCACGCCGUGCCUGCUCGUCUGUUUCGGUCAACAGUGUCUACUCUUCGGAUUGGAACCCUGCUAGGGGAUCCCUCCUCCCAUUUCAAACAGAAACUAGCCAUUAAGUAAACACCCGUUCCUGUUGGCUUAUUUUGGUCCACAGUUAGGAGGGAUCCAACAGGAGUUUCUUGAUGAAAUUGCGCUUUCAAAGACCAGAUGCUGUUUGGCUGACUUGAAGAAACGCAUGCCCCCUCCUCUGGUUCUAGUUUUCGCGUGGUUACGUCCUGUUGUUUUGAAGCAAACGAACUGUCACAUGCCACACAAUGAGACUUCCCCCAUCACUUUAAAAAAAGGAAAGAAAAGCCCUAAACGUAAAUAAGCCUAGCAGAGACAGCGCCCGGGUCUGCCUCCAGUCUGGGCUCUGUGCUGUUUUUGUUCGGUAACCUCGGUGGAGAUCCCGGCAGAAGAAACUCUGUGGAAAUAAGAUUAAACCCGAGGAGUACUAAGACGGCCAAGGGAUAACUAACUCGACUUCGGAGCGUCUGUUUCAGGAACUAGAGCUAGCCUGCCACCCUCCCUCAAAAAAAAAAAAAAAAAAAAAGACACCCCCGCCCCUAGAAUGCGUGGAGGCCAGAGUUUAAAAAGCCUGGGUGGUUUUUCCAAUUACAGGACUAAAAUGAAUCAACAGGGAAAAAAAGCGUCUCUCUAAGAAGGCAGCAACCUUACGAUUUUUUUCUUCUGUGGUUUGCUGACUGCUCGGGACAGAAGAGAACACACACCUAAAACGGCUCGGGGGGAGCGCGGUCCUGGGGACAAGCCACCCGCCCGGACGCUGCCCUGCAACUGCCGGGAGCACAGUUCCUUCCCGGACCUGGCUGCAGAUGAAUCAGCUGCUGCGCCCGGCACACAUAGUUCCUUUUGGCGUCUUAUCUUCUGAAGCUGCCUCAAGGCCAAGCAAAGAAAGUUGUUAAAAAGUUAAGUUACUUUUCACAGCCUGCAAACCCUUCAAAGGCAAGAACUCAAAUAGAAACUUGGAAAGGCAGAUAAGCCAGAAAAGUGUACUAAUAAACGCACUUAAUAUGAUUAUUUUUUGAUGCCAGGUCCACCAAGUGAAGAUUGGAGGAUGUAUUUGUUUCUUCUACUCAACAACAAUUGAUAAAGCAUGAGUUCCAUCAAGGACUGUGUUCUAGGUGGAGAAAGGGUGACUCACCCAGUCAUUGGAUCUCUUUCACUUCCAGUCUCUGGAAGGCAGAUAUCUUUAUAAAAUAUGCAGACAGCUAGGCUCUAAACACUGGACAAGAGGUCUGUAAUCAUCCAGUCACAUCUCAGGUCAGAGGGUCUUGGACUGCUUAAGAAAGAGCUGACCAUUGUCUUAAGAACCUGGGGUGGCCUAGAGCCAUCUUGAGGUGAUUUUAUCAGCCCCAUCAGGAUAAUUCUCCUCAGCUUCCUUGCAUGAAUAGUGUAACUGGUGCUACUACUUUUGUUUUUAGUCACUUUUCCUAGCCUGCACUUCCCUUCCCGGCCCUCCUUUUUCCUCUGUAGCCAAGUCAUCACUUCUCUUUACCUAAAUGAGUUUUGGAAUCCAGGGGAUAAAACGAAAAGAUAGGCAGGGCGCUGUGGCUCACACCUGUAAUCCCACCACUUUGGGAGGCCGAGGUGGGUGGAUCACCUGAGGUCAGGAGUUUGAGACCAGCCUGACCAAUAUGGUGAAACCCCAUCUCUACUAAAAAUACAAAAAUUAGCCGGGCGUGGUGGCGUGUGACUGUAGUCCCAGCUACUUGGGAGGCUGAGACAGGAGGGUUGCUUGAACCUGGGAGACAGAGGUUGCAGAAAGCUGAGAUCGUGCCAUUGCACUCCAGCCUGGGUGACAGAGCAAGACUCUGUCUCAAAAACAAAAACAAAAAAACGGAAAGAUAAUUCCUUGAGCACAAGCUUCACUCUCCUUAUUCUCAACAUCUGUGUCUGUAUUAUUCUUUACAGUUUAUGAAACACUUAUUUAAUCUCACUUAAUGCCCAAACUAGUGAUGUUAGUUAUUUUUUUUAAAAAGUCAAGAUCACUUAACACAUCCAAAUAUAACAAAGUUAAAAGGCAUAAAACUGGGUACCCAACAUAAAUUAUCUGAUUAUAAAUCAAGUGGUCUCUGGGAAAUCUUGUCAUUUCAGAAGGUCAGAUGGAUGUGGAGGGCAGAAACUAACCUCAGAUUAUGCCAGGGACGCCAGGGCCUCCUGAACACUGUGGGGGGUUGUGCUCUGAAAUCUACCUCCAGUUUUACAAGAAGCUCUCUUCCAAUCUGUCUGCGCUUUUUUUUUUUUUUUUUUUUUUGCU